rnacentral:rRNA from 1 species
GAUGAACGCUGGCGGCGUGCCUAAUACAUGCAAGUCGAGCGAACAGACGAGGAGCUUGCUCCUCUGACGUUAGCGGCGGACGGGUGAGUAACACGUGGAUAACCUACCUAUAAGACUGGGAUAACUUCGGGAAACCGGAGCUAAUACCGGAUAAUAUAUUGAACCGCAUGGUUCAAUAGUGAAAGACGGUUUUGCUGUCACUUAUAGAUGGAUCCUCGCCGCAUUAGCUAGUUGGUAAGGUAACGGCUUACCAAGGCGACGAUGCGUAGCCGACCUGAGAGGGUGAUCGGCCACACUGGAACUGAGACACGGUCCAGACUCCUACGGGAGGCAGCAGUAGGGAAUAUUCCGCAAUGGGCGAAAGCCUGACGGAGCAACGCCGCGUGAGUGAUGAAGGUCUUCGGAUCGUAAAACUCUGUUAGUAGGGAAGAACAAAUGUGUAAGUAACUAUGCACGUCUUGACGGUACCUAAUCAGAAAGCCACGGCUAACUACGUG